AUGAACGCUAGCUACAGGCUUAACACAUGCAAGUCGCGGGGCAGCAUGAAGUCAGCUUGCUGACUUUGAUGGCGACCGGCGCACGGGUGAGUAACGCGUAUCCAACCUGCCUGUUACCACGGCACAGCCCGUCGAAAGGCGGAUUAAUGCCGUAUGUGGUCCUUUGCGGGCAUCUAAUUAGGACUAAAGGUUCGGCGGUAACAGAUGGGGAUGCGUCCGAUUAGCUAGACGGCGGGGUAACGGCCCACCGUGGCGACGAUCGGUAGGGGUUCUGAGAGGAAGGUCCCCCACACUGGAACUGAGACACGGUCCAGACUCCUACGGGAGGCAGCAGUGAGGAAUAUUGGUCAAUGGGCGCAAGCCUGAACCAGCCAAGUAGCGUGAGGGAAGACUGCCCUAUGGGUUGUAAACCUCUUUUGUGCGGGGAUAAAGUGUGGGACGUGUCCCAUAUUGCAGGUACCGCACGAAUAAGGACCGGCUAAUUCCGUGCCAGCAGCCGCGGUAAUACGGAAGGUCCGGGCGUUAUCCGGAUUUAUUGGGUUUAAAGGGAGCGCAGGCCGUCCUUUAAGCGUGCUGUGAAAUGCCGCGGCUCAACCGUGGCACUGCAGCGCGAACUGGAGGACUUGAGUACGCACGAGGUAGGCGGAAUUCGUGGUGUAGCGGUGAAAUGCUUAGAUAUCACGAAGAACUCCGAUUGCGAAGGCAGCUUACCGGAGCGCAACUGACGCUGAGGCUCGAAAGCGCGGGUAUCGAACAGGAUUAGAUACCCUGGUAGUCCGCGCGGUAAACGAUGGAUGCCCGCCGUUGGGUUUUAGAAUUCAGCGGCCAAGCGAAAGCGUUAAGCAUCCCACCUGGGGAGUACGCCGGCAACGGUGAAACUCAAAGGAAUUGACGGGGGCCCGCACAAGCGGAGGAACAUGUGGUUUAAUUCGAAGCAACGCGAAGAACCUUACCAGGUCUUGACAUCCGUGUAAAGCCGCAGAGAUGCGGUGUGAGCUUGCUCAAUACGAGACAGGUGGUGCAUGGUUGUCGUCAGCUCGUGCCGUGAGGUGUCGGCUCAAGUGCCAUAACGAGCGCAACCCCUGUCCAUAGUUGCCAUCAGGUCGUGCUGGGCACUCUGUGGAGACUGCCGCCGUAAGGUGUGAGGAAGGUGGGGAUGACGUCAAAUCAGCACGGCCCUUACGUCCGGGGCUACACACGUGUUACAAUGGGGCAUACAGCGAGUUGGAUGUGCGCAAGUACGUCCGGAUCAAUAAAGUGCCUCUCAGUUCGGACUGGGGUCUGCAACCCGACCCCACGAAGCUGGAUUCGCUAGUAAUCGCGCAUCAGCCAUGGCGCGGUGAAUACGUUCCCGGGCCUUGUACACACCGCCCGUCAAGCCAUGAAAGCCGGGGGCGCCUGAAGUCCGUGACCGCGAGGGUCGGCCUAGGGUGAAACCGGUGAUUGGGGCU
rnacentral:rRNA from 1 species